GUGGUAUUGUGUAAUAAGGUUAGUUUUAGUCAUGUUGUGUUUGUGGUGUAAUGUGAUGCAUAUGUGGCUAUGGGCUGUAGAGAAUGUGUGUAUUGGGGAUAUAGCAAGUGUGUGCAUACAGGCUAUAGUGUGUGUGUGUGUAUAUAGGUGAUGUAGUGUGUGUUUAGGGGUGUAGUAUGUGUUUGCUUACAAGGAAUCUAG